CAAACAUCCGGGCCCUGGUAAAAAAAGGAAUGAAUCACAUUACAUUGACAGAUAUUUUGAAAACGAAAUAUACAUCGAGAGGGCAUGUAACGUAAACCGGAACGAGACUCCAAACCGACAACAUCAUCUCAUACAGGUUGAGUUGUGUAACUGGCGACAUUGACGGAGCUUGCAAUAGGACCAUAUAAGCGGCAAACAGGAAAAUAGUAACACAAAGUAUGGCAGAAAACAAGAUCAACGUAGACCUGGAAAAAGCUGCUAAUAACGGUGACAAAGCCACGGUUCGAGCCCUUUUAGACUGCGGUGCAAACCCAAACAAGGUAUUGGCGUUGGAAAAGGCAGCUUGUAACGGUCAUACCGACAUUGUGAAGAUGAUACUUGCAAGAGGCGGGAACACUAAUAAGG